GUCAUGGAGAACUCAUCAAAUCUUAUCAUCAGUCAUAUGCCAGAUUGGCUCGACUCGAUUCAUCUAUGAAUCCCAUGAAAACUCUUUUUUAGUAUUUACUCUUGCUCUAGCUAGAGACUUCUUAAACUCAGUGUUGUGAAUCACAUAAGACUACUCUUUUUCUACCAAAGUCUAUAGAUUCUAUCUAGAUGUAUCCUACUCCAAACAGCGAACCUAAACCUACAAUAGCCAACAUACACAGCAAAGAACUGAAUGGCUAAAGACCAAGAGAACGUGUAGUCAAACUAAGUAACUUUGCUAUAAAUAGCCAAUACACCAC
rnacentral:lncRNA from 1 species